rnacentral:ncRNA from 1 species
AACGUAACCCCGAGUACGUAUUGAUACUAUGUACUGUGAUGCUAAUAAAGCACACCAUAGUUGGGCGAAAGAUAAGUCCUCAUGAUCCUAAUGGAGUAUGGGCUACAGAUGUGCUACGUAUACUUAACAAUGUGAUGCUAUGACCCUUAGUCAGCGCUAACCAUUAAACAAAGUAAAAGGGAAUUUACCCUAUCAUAAGAGGAUCGUGGUCUGUAACUCGAUCACGUGAAUAAGGAAUUCCGAGUAAUCGCAGAUUAGUACGCUGCGGUGAACCUAUACUUUAGGGAGGUACUAACUGUCCAUCAUGCAGUGGCCAUUUUGAACACAUUAAUAACUACUAAUAGGUAAUAUCUAUAUAGAUACUAUCAUAAUAUAGUUAGAAUGCUUAGGAGUUGCCUCUGUAAAGUUGUAGCAGGUUGCUGUAAGGGAACUUGUAGCUGUUAUAUAACUAUU